rnacentral:rRNA from 1 species
GUAGGGGGCGAGCGUUAUCCGGAAUUACUGGGCGUAAAGGGCGUCUAGGCGGCAGCCUAAGUCUCGCGUGAAAGCUCCCGGCUCAACUGGGAGAGGGCGCGGGAAACUGGGUGGCUAGAGACUCGGAGAGGGGUGUGGAAUUCCCGGUGGAGUGGUGAUAUGCGUUGAGAUCGGGAGGAACACCAGUGGCGAAGGCGGCACCCUGGCCGAGGUCUGACGCUGAAGCGCGACAGCGUGGGGAGCAAACGGGGAUUAGAUACCCCGGUAGUCCACGCCGUAAACGAUGACCACUAGGUGUCGGGUGUUUAAGGAUGCUUGGUACCGCAGCUAACGCGAUAAGUGGUCCGCCUGGGGAGUACGGCCGCAAGGCUA